GGACCAAAUUGUUGGUCGUGCCUCGGUACGCACUGGUAUUAUUGAUUUCUCCCUUCUGAAGAACCACGAUGUCAUUAAUUUGGUGUCGUGGGGAAUCAGAACUGUUACUUUGAAAAAAUUAGAGUGUUUAAAGCAGGCUCACGCUUGAAUACAUUAGCAUGGAAUAAUGAAAUAGGACGUUUGAUUCUAUUUUGUUGGUUUCUAGGAUCGACGUA
rnacentral:rRNA from 1 species